rnacentral:rRNA from 1 species
UACGUAGGGUGCAAGCGUUGUCCGGAAUUAUUGGGCGUAAAGAGCUCGUAGGCGGUUUGUCGCGUCGAAUGUGAAAACCCGGGGCUCAACCCCGGGCCUGCAUUCGAUACGGGCAGACUAGAGUUCGGUAGGGGAGUCUGGAAUUCCUGGUGUAGCGGUGAAAUGCGCAGAUAUCAGGAGGAACACCGGUGGCGAAGGCGGGACUCUGGGUCGAUACUGACGCUGAGGAGCGAAAGCGUGGGGAGCAAACAGG